UAAAUAUCUGUUUUUUUACAUUAACUCUUUGGCUUUUAAAAACUUAUAUUUUGUGUCCUUAAAAUUUUAAAAUAUUUUCAAAGGGUUGCGGCGUAGAUGACAAAAUGACCAAAUUAUCUUUAUUUUGAAAGGCAUUUUCAGUAUAAAUUAUAAGAAAUAAAUGGAAUAGUAAUGAAAUCCUGAAGGAGGGGGGCUUAAUAUAACAAUUUAAAAUAUUAAGGGGGUAAAAUAUAUGUUUUUGAAAAUUAUGGAGGAAAAGUGAAAAAGGCGAAUAUUUAUAAAUCGGUUUCUGUAACUUAGCCUAUUUUAAAUUAAUCAAAUUACAAUAAUUGACCACACACUUAAUAAAGAAUAAAAAAAUAUUCUAUAA
rnacentral:lncRNA from 1 species